ACGUCUGCUAUGAGGAGAGGCUCUGAGCUGGGGCAGUUCAGCCUGGAGAACAGGAGACUUAAGGGGAUCUCAUCCAUGUAUGUUUCAGGGAAGCAAGAUGGAUCUGUCCAUAUCUGAACCAUGCUGAUUCUUCUUUCCUUAACGUAAGAUGGAUUCCCUGUUCACUGUAUCCUGCAGAGAAAAGAUUUUGCUGUACAAGGUGAAUUUGUGUGAAUUUGUUACCUGAGUGUGACAGCUCUUCAUGGAAUACACCAGGAUGGACAAAAUAAACAAUAUGGAAAUGUGUGAUGCUACAGCCUGAAGGUAUGGCAAGAUUUAAAUGAUGGCAAUUAGUCCAAGAGAGAAAAAUUGAAUUGGGAGAAUAUGAGGUGGAUGGUUUCAAUUCACAGAAUCCCAGAAUUCCAGCAUGGCUUGUGACCAUCUGACAUGCCCUUUGCUCCAGCAGGACCACCCAGAGUAGGGUGCCCAGGCCCACAUCCAGUCAGUCUCUGAAGAUCUCCAAGGAGAAGACCCCUCAGCCUCUCUAUUCUGCUGUGCCAAGAACUUUUUCCUGCACAGUGAAUGAGAAGAUAAAAUGAGACCAAGGACUGCCUAGUCUGAAAUUUGUGUGUGGACUCUCCUCAUCUUUAGCCUUUUCACUAUUUCUGUUCAGUGUGCCAGUGGUUUGAAGAGCUGCAUUUUAGGUCUUUUUUUCAUCCAGUCAGCAGAGUUGGGAUGAACUUGGUGCCAACUGACAAGAUAUCUGAUAUCUAUGGUUCUAUGAGUGACCAAACUGGAUCCUUAUCAAAAUUCUUACUUUGACCAUGUUCAUGGUAGACUGCCAUAAUGCAGUCUUAGAAUUAUGUCUGAAGCCUAUAAAAGUAUUUUUUCAUCUGCUAAUUUAUUAGAGAGGAAAACAAAGGAGGAGUCACAUAUUUUGUGGUGUUGGAGGGGAGUAAGUAAGUCUUACAACAUGGGAGAAACAUGUGCUUGCUGGGUAACAUCUAACUUUCCAUUGAUAGUUUUUAGGUACAAUGACCCGUUAGGUACUUUUUCCUUCUAGCUCUCCAAGAGAGUACUCUCUCCUAGAGCAGUUUCACCGAAGUAAACUCCCUGGAGUACUUCAUUGUUCUAAUAAAAGGCAUACCUUUCUUUCAAACUCUUACUUUCCACUAAGUUUGAUACUUACUAUUACCAGGCAUGACAACGACUUUGCACUUUCCUAAGGUUGAAGAGUAAAACAGGCCGAUUUGAGAAUAGUCUGGGACACAGAGUAGGUAACAAUAGCACGAGAUGACAAUGGUCUCGUUAACUACAUGUGUGCCCUUCAGCAAAAGGUUUUUUAAACACUCAUAAAAGACAAAUCUGAAAACUCAAAAAUGCCCUGGAUGUCUACAGCUGCAGUCUGAUGACUCAAUACUAGCAAUUAAUUCAUGGUUAAAUCUGAUCGAGUCACUUUGUUGUUUUGUUAAAUAAAAUUUCCUUUCCUUUUCAGUAUGUCUACACUGAACAUUUCUUGAAUUACCUGUAAAAUCAACCCGCCUAAUGCUUAAGUGAUAUGAUUCAAAUGAUGUACACUCAAAUGAAAAAUGUGUUCUCUGUUCUGUUCCAUCGCUCAUAUAUUAUUGUUGCUGUGUCUUUACUAGGUGAAUCACUGGCAUUUAUGAGAUUUGGAUUGAGCAUAGUUGAGAAUCCAUAACUAUAAGCCUACUCUGCUAAUGGUUACCAGUUUAAUUCUGGAGAGUAGUCAGACACUCUUCAAAUACUUUUGUCAAGAUUUUAUAAUAUAUUAAGAUUUGUGUACAAUAGAAAACACUCAAAAUGUUAGGAAAAAAAAAUGUAACUUUUUUCCUCUCACUUCUUUAUCUGGAUGUACUAAAUAAAAAGAAAUAAAUCCUUCUACCUGAGAGCCUAAAAAAAAUGGAAAAUUGGAUUAGAGACAUUCUCCUGGAAAAAAAAUUCUUUACAAUACAGUUAUGUCUUCAAAGUAAGUUUGUUUGUCCCUCUGAAAGAGUAUCUGAACUGUAUCACCUCACUUCUCAACUGCUGUAGGGAUAAUAAAAGUAAAAUAGCUCUUGGGAAUCUUAGGCAAAUGUACCUAUUGGUUUAGUCUAGCUUGUUUCUAAAUGAGAAAGGUUGGGCUGUCUGCAGACCAGUCCAGA